AGCUUAUAUAUACCAUGGAGAUAGCUCGAGCAUUAAGGUGAAACAGAUUCAGAGAGCCAAAGUGGUUUAGAAAUAUUAAAGAGAAAUGUGAUACUCUGGCUAAAACCAACGCCGGCAGACUCAGACCAACAUAAUGAAAAUCACAGACAGGAAAGUGAGAUCGUCAGCAGUGAUGACGUAUGAUCCUGCUGGUGAGCUGAAAGGGAACUGCACAACGGGACAGCAGUCUAGAACAAGCCGGAAAGGAAGGACACUAGUUAUGGAUGAGGCCCUUCUUUCUUCACGAAUCUGGUGUUUUAACUUUUUUAUUCAAUGAAAUGACUUCAGUACCAAAUGUAUACUGGCUUCAAAGAAGGAGUUAAGACACAGGUUCUCCAUCCUCUGGAAGAUUUGAGUAAGACUGAAAUCACAUCUUGUACUUGAAAUUUUGGAAAACUCUCUUAUAAAACCCUGUUGCCCUGGUAUUUUCUUUGUUAUGCUAUUUUAAAUGUAUACACU